UCUGCAACUUUUUCUCUGGACAGGUCUUGAUGAAUCUCCCCCAUUGAGGCUGCCAGAGCCGCAGUGAUCUGUGUAAGAAACCUAUGGGCCCAGGCUGUUAGGGCCACCAAAUGAUAUUACAAAUACUGAGUGUCUGGUUAGGAGAAACAAAUAUAAUGUACCCACAGGGAGUAGCGCCAUUUUAAUAAAAAUUGCCAAAAAUCCCUGAGAUAAGUCAUGCAGAAUAUGUUAAAAAGGUUUUUGGAUUUCCAGCCAAUCAGAAAGCAACACUACUAGUUUUUUGUUUUUUUUCAGCCAAUCAGAAAGCAGCACUACUCAAAUAGAACUCCUGUGAGGUCACACAUGUGAUGUCAUAACCAUUGUCAUUGGUGAGGGGCCUAAACUGUAGGAACCUAGCAAUACACAUUCAUACCCGCCUGUGACUGAUGCACACCUUCCAGGCUGUGGAGGAGCACAUACACUGACACUUUGCCCAAAUUCUAGAGGUAACCUCCUUUAGUAUGCCCAGAGGAAGGGCAGUACAGUAGCCAUGGAUUCCCUACAGGUUUCCUCCCCUCUGGAGGUUUUUCCUGUCCUGAGUUAGUUACUGUCCGCUCUUUGUGAGUGAUGGAGGUUACAUAAAAUCCCUACACAAACAUUUUUGUAAAUAAUAAAUAAAGUUCCCUUUGUUUAAACCGUU